GCCCAGACUCCUACGGGAGGCAGCAGUGAGGAAUAUUGGUCAAUGGCCGCAGGGCUGAACCAGCCAAGUCGCGUGAGGGAUGACGGUCCUAUGGAUUGUAAACCUCUUUUGUCAGGGAGCAAAGGGCGCCACGUGUGGCGUUUUGCGAGUACCUGAAGAAUAAGCAUCGGCUAACUCCGUGCCAGCAGCCGCGGUAAUACGGAGGAUGCGAGCGUUAUCCGGAUUUAUUGGGUUUAAAGGGUGCGUAGGCGGAUUUUUAAGUCAGCGGUCAAAUCGUGGGGCUCAACCCCAUCCAGCCGUUGAAACUGGGGAUCUAGAGUGUGCGAGAGGUAUGCGGAAUGCGCGGUGUAGCGGUGAAAUGCUUAGAUAUCGCGCAGAACCCCGAUUGCGAAGGCAGCGUACCGGCUCCACACUGACGCUGAGGCACGAAAGCGUGGGUAUCGAACAGGAUUAGAUACCCUUGUA
rnacentral:rRNA from 1 species